rnacentral:lncRNA from 1 species
GCAAGUGUGAAACACUUUCAAGGGCAUUUUCUCCUAUUGUCUCGUAAGUGGGAUAACACGUUUAUCAACUUUAAAAGCAGUAUAACUUUCCUAUGUUUCCACCAACUACAGUGUAUGAUAUACCAUUUUGAAGCUAUGAUCCGUACUUUUAUAUGUACAAAAAAGAUCACCUUCAACAUUUGACAGAAGUUCACAUAGAGAAAUGCAGUCACAAAUGCUGAAAAAUCCUUGCUUGAUUUUCAAGUGUUACCAGAAGUUGCUUACUGGCAUGAUAGUAUUGGAAUGUAGUUUCUUCUUCCUUGUUUAACUGCACAGUUUAUGUAACUACCAGAGACUGAGAGUGCAUCCCAAAUGGCUCGCCAUUCCCUAUGGGCCCUAGACAAAGUAGUGCACUAUAUAGGGAAUAGGGUGCCAUUUGGGAUGCCAGCUGACAGGGAACAAAUUAUAAAACAGAAACUUAUGGUGAUCAGUUGAUGAGGAGCUCACAGAAGCCUGAACACUGAGGAAGACAAGCAGCAACCAUUUGAGGGAAUACCAAAAGAACCAUGGAACUUGGGGUGUUUCUCAUUGUAAUUUUCUCAGUAAUAGGCUGCCUGUGCUCUGUAACAAGCACAACCACAGUUCCUAAUAUGACAACCACAACUGAGGCUCCUACUCCAACAGCAACAGUUGCAGCUUUAAUUACGACAACCAUACCUGCAGCUCUUACUACAACAACAACUGCAGCUCCUACUACAACAACAACUGCAGCUCCAACUACGACAACCACAACCACAGUUCCUUCUACAACUACAACAACAGCUCCUGCUACAAUAACCACAACUGUAGCUCCUACUCCAACAACCACACUUCCUGCUAUGACAACCACAACUGCAGCUCCUACUACAUCAACUGCAGCUCCUACUACAACAAUAACUGCAGCUCCUACUACGACAACCACAACCACAGUUCCUUCUACAACUACAACAACAGCUCCUGCUACAAUAACCACAACUGUAGCUCCUACUCCAACAACCCCACUUCCUGCUAUGACAACCACAACUGCAGCUCCUACUACAUCAACUGCAGCUCCUACUACAACAACAACUGCAGCUCCUACUACGACAACCACAACCACAGUUCCUUCUACAACUACAACAACAGCUCCUGCUACAAUAACCACAACUGUAGCUCCUACUCCAACAACCACACUUCCUGCUAUGACAACCACAACUGCAGCUCCUACUACAUCAACUGCAGCUCCUACUACAACAACUGCAGCUCCUACUACGACAACUACAACCACAGUUCCUUCUACAACUACAACAACAGCUCCUGCUACAAUAACCACAACUGUAGCUCCUACUCCAACAACCACACUUCCUGCUAUGACAACCACAACCACAGCUCCUACUACAUCAACUGCAGCUCCUAGUACAACAACAACCACAGUUCCUUCUACAACUACAACAACAACUGCAACUCUUUCUCCUAUAACCACAACUGCAGUUGCUAUUACAACAACUACAGCUCCUACCACAACAACCGCAGCUCCUACUACAACAACUAUAGCUCCUAAUACAACAACUACAGCUCCUAAUACAACAACUACAGCUCCUAAUACAACAACUACAGAUCCUAAUACAACAACUACAGAUCCUAAUACAACAACUACAGCUCCUAAUACAACAACUACAGCUCCUGAUACAACAACUACUGCUCCUAAUACAACAACUACAGCUCCUAAUACAACAACUACAGCUCCUAAUACAACAACCCCAGAACCUUAUAUAAUACAGUCAACCAUGCAUAGUGGGACUGGAUAUAAGUUUGUACUGAGGGUCAAAUUUUCCAUGACGACAGACGAAACCGAAUCUGAGAUCUUGAAGCAGCUCCAUGAUUAUCUGAUCCUACAAGGGCUGCCUUUGGACUCUACACUGCGAUUGACAAUCAUUCAGAGCUAGUUGACAGGGGAAGAGGAGAAGGACACCGGAGAGGAAACACAGACAGAACAGAAUGCAAACCUGAUCGCUGAGAUAUUUUACACACAUACUUUACAAUAGAUUAUCUUGCAGAUUACACUCUUUCCCCAUGACCUACGGUAACUGGACCUAAUGUACUAGCAACUAAAUACCUACAGUAACUUCAGAAAGUUCACAUCCUUUGACUUUUCCACAUUAUGUUGUGUUACAAAGUGCAAGAAAAAUUCUAACAUUUGUAAAAAAUAUAUACAUGAACAAUAAAACACUAACAUAUCUUGAUUAGAUACGUUUUCACCCUCCUGGGUUAAUAUGUGUUAAUAUUACUGCUCUGAGUCUUUCUGGGUAAGUCUCUAAGAGCUUUGCACACCUGGAUUGUAAAAUAUUUGCAGAUUAUUCUUAAAAUAAAUCUUCAAGCUCUGUCAGGUUGUUUGUUGAUCAUUGCUAGACAUCCAUUUUAAGUCUUGCCAUACAUUUUCAAUCUGAUUUCAGUCAAAAUUGUAACCAAGACACUCAAAAUAUUUCCAUGUUGUCUUGGUAAGCAACUCAACUGUAUAUUUGGCCUUGUGUAUUAAGUUAUUGUCUUGCUAAAAGGUUGAAUUUGUCUUCCGUGUCUGUUGGAAAGCAGACUGAACCAGGUUAUCCUCUAGGAUUUUGCCUGUGCUUAGCUCUAUUCUGUAUCUUUUUAUCAUAAAAAACUCCCUAGUCCUUGCUGAUGACAAGCAUACCCAUAACAUGAUGCAGCCACCACCAUGCUUGAAAACAUGAAGAGUGAUACGCAGUGAUGUGAUGUGUUGUAUUUGCCUCAAGCAUAACGCUUUGUAAUCAGCACAGAGUUAAUUUCUUUGACAUUUUUUUGGGCAGUUUAACUUUAGUGCGUUAUUGCAAACACGAUGCAUGUUGUGGACAAUUUUUUAUUCUGCACAAACUUCUUUGUUUCACUCUGUCAUUAGGUUAGUAUUGUGGAGUAACUACAAUGUCGGUGAUCCAUCCUCAGUUUUCUCCUGUCAUUGAACAGUUACGUAAAAUAGAUAUUUCUGUAUUACAUUUUCUAUAAAUUAUUGAAUGGAAGUAGAUAUGGAAGUAGUUUAGUGCUAAAAACAAUUAGACUAAAUAUGGGAAGAAAAAAAUACCAUUCAAAAGUUUGGACACACCUACUCAUUCAAGGGUUCUUUAUUUUAACUUUUUUCCAUUUUUUAUAAUAAUAGAGAAGACAUAAAAACUAUGAAAUAACAAAUAUGGAAUCAUGUAGUAACCAAAAAAGUGUUAAACAAAUAAAAGUAUAUGUUAUAUUUGAGAUUCUUCAAGGUAGCCACCCUUUGCCUUGGUGACAGCUUUGCACACACUUGGCAUUCUCGCAACAAGCUUCACCUGGAAUGCUUUACCAUCAGUCUAGAAGGAGUUCCCACAUAUGCUGAGCACUUGUUGGCUGCUUUUACUUCACUCUGCGGUCCAAAUCAGCCCAAACCAUCUCAAUUGGGUUGAAGCCGGAUAAUUGUGGAGGCCCUUUCAUCUGAUGCAGCACUCCAUCACUCUACUUCUUGGUCAAAUAGCCCUUAUACAGCCAGGAGGUGUGUUGGGUCAUUUUCCUGUUGAAAUAAAAAUGAUAGUCCCACUAAGCACAAACCCGAUGGGAUGUCGUAUCGCUGCGGUAGCCGUGCUGGUUAAGUGUGGCUUGAAUUCUAAAUAAAUCACGACAGUGUCCCCAGCAAAGCACCGUGAAUUUCAGUGUCGUUUGGUUCAGUUGCGUUUGUGUUAUGACGCAGUGGUUCAAAAGGAAAAGGGUCAGUCAGGGGUCCUGGUGUUGGAGCUUUUGGUCAAAGAAGUCCCUCGUCGGAGCUAAAGCAUAGGCUCUCUUUCUCUCUUAGUUUGUUAAGGCACUCUGUUCCAAUAUAAUGUUGUUUCGGGUCCUCAUUUGGGAGCGAUGAAGACUCAGUGGUUUGUUGUAAACAGAGAUGUGGGUUCAGCAGAGUUCAUCUUUGGUGAGUUGGAUAAGGCUUCCUUGAUCAGCGUUUUGGUUUCCAAGGAUAUGGAUCAUUGAACCUUCCAGACGCCAUCACUAACAGGACUGCAAAUCUUGGCCCAGAGUGUGGGAUCUCAUGAACAUACACUACAUGACCAAAAGUAUGUGGACACCUGCUCGUCAAACAUCUCAUUCCAAAAUCAUGGACAUUAAUAUGGAGUUGGUCCCCCUUUCGCUGCUUUUACAGCCUCCACUCUUCUGGAAAAGCUUUCCACUACAUGUUGGAACAUUUCUGCGGGGACUUGCUUCCAUUAAGCUAAAAGAGUGAGGUCGGACACUGAUGUUGGGCGAUUAGGCCUGGCUCGCAGUAGGCAUUCCAAUUCAUCCCAAAGGUGUUCGAUGGGGUUGAGGUCAGGGCUGUGUACAGGCCAGUCAAGUUCUUCCACACCGAUCUCAACAAACCAUAUCUGUAUAGACCUUGCUUUGUAUACCAGGGCAUUGUCAUGCUGAAACAGGAAAGGGCCUUCCCUAAACUGUUGCCACAAAGUUGGAUGCACAGAAUGGUCUAGAAUGUCAUUGUAUGCUGUAGCGUUAAGAUUUCUCUUCACUGGAACAAAGGGGCCUAGCCCGAACCAUAAAAUACAGCCCCAGACCAUUAUUCCUCCUCCACCAAACUUUACAGUUGGCACUAUGCAUUCGGGCAGGUAGCAUUCUUGGCAUCUACCAAACCCAGAUUUUUCCGUCUUACUGCCAGAGAGGGAAGCGUGAUUCAUCAGUCCAGAGAACGCGUUUCCACUGCUCCAGAGUCCAAUGGUGGCAAGUUUUACACCACUCUAGCUGACGCUUGGCAUUGAGCAUGGUGAUCUUAGGAUUGUGUGUGGCUGUUCGGCCAUGGAAACCCAUUUCAUGAAGCUCCCGAACAGUUUGUGUGCUCACGAUGCUUCCAGAGGCAUUGAGUGUUGCAACCAAGAACAAAUGUAUUUUCACUAUCUGUGCUCUCAUUUGUUCAUGACAUAUAAUGAACCUGUAGGGGAUUUGAUCUUUUAUCCAUUCCGCGUCAAAUCAUGUCCAAAAGAUUGUCAAAUGUAAUGUUCCAAUCAUGAUUGCCUUUGCACAUCUCCUGCGCUUCAGCACUCAGCAGUCCCGUUCUGUGAGCUUGUGUGUCCUACCACUUCGCGGCUGAGCUGUUGUUGAUCCUAGACGUUUCCACUUCACAAUAACAGACAGCACUUAUAGUUGACCGGGGCAGUUCUAGCAGGGCAGAAAUUUGAUGAACUGACUUGCUGGAAAGGUGGUAUCCAGUGACCGUGCCACGUUGAAGCCAAUGAGCUCUUCAGUAAGGCCAUUCUACUGCCAAUGUUUUUCUUGGGAUAUUGAAUGGCUGUGUGCUCGAUUUUAUACACUUGUCAGCAACGGAUGUGGCUGAAAUAGCCGAAUCCACUCAUUUGAAGGGGUUUCCACAUACUUUUGUAUAUAUAGGGUACUGGAUAUAUAUAGGGUACUGUUUCCAAAAAAACAACAACACUUCCCGAUCUUUCUUAUCUCCUAGAUAUAGGACAGACAAUUCAAAACCUUAUUCCUUAUUAUUUAUUUUUUGACUGUCCUUUUUUCUUGUCAUUUAUGAAUGUCUUAUUUAAUGGGUUUCUUCAAAGCUUUAAAUGCACUUAAAACAUUAGCCAACUGUGAUUUCUCUUGGUUACUGCACCUGUGGUUUUGAAGUCUCAAGACAUUGCAUGCAUCAGGAGUUGACUGUAGAAUGAAGUUCUUAAAAGACAAAGGCUUUGAACACACUUAAAACAUGAUGUUACUAACAUAGAAUAAAGUGAUCACAGAUUCAUCUAGAUCCUUCUUUACACCCGGUGCAAACAUGCGUCUUUUGUUAUGAUCUUAUCCACAUUCUUAUUGUGCCCAAAUUGUAGCCAUCGCAUUUACACAUGGUAGUAAAAAUGUCUCUUAUCCGUCUACUGUGUCCGCAUUGUGACCAGAUUUCCUGGUUCCUCCCUGUAUGCUAAAUUUUGAACAGAUAAUCUUUCAAAAUAAUAUUAAUAUAUAUUCAGAAAAAUAUUGAUGGCACAAGUCAAUGGCGUCACCUGUCAAUGACUUUAGAUGGCGGGAUAAUGAUGAUUUAAAUGGUUUACUGUCCAUAUCCAUCUUACUUGAAAGAUAUCCAGACCAUCUCUGGAGAUGGUCAGGAAAAUCAGGAAAAGGAUGCAUGUUAGAUCCAGGUAUAAAGGGGAUAACUGAAAGAAGAUUAGGGCCUCAUUCCAGGCUAACUACAUUGCAGAUGUUGCAUUGCAUCAACCAGUUGGAGAUCAGGGUCACGUCCUGACCAGCAGAGGGAGUAGUUGUGUAGUAUUUUGGUCAGGACGUGGCAGAAGUCUGUGUAUGUGUGUUCUGGGAUGUCUGUUUCUAUGUUGGUCUGUGUGGCUCCCGAUCAGGGACAGCUGGUUAUCGUUGUUCCUGAUUGGGUGUCAUAUAUUAGGAGUGUGUUUGUCAUCUGGGUUUGUUGGUUGUUUCAUUAGCACUGCUAUUAUUGUAAGUAUAGCCUGUUAACAUGUCUUUAGUCGUUCUUGUUUAUUGUUUUCCGUGUUUGCUUUAUUCAUUUUCAUUAAAAGAUGAGU